rnacentral:rRNA from 1 species
UACGUAGGUGGCAAGCGUUGUCCGGAAUUAUUGGGCGUAAAGCGCGCGCAGGCGGUCCUUUAAGUCUGAUGUGAAAGCCCACGGCUCAACCGUGGAGGGUCAUUGGAAACUGGGGGACUUGAGUACAGAAGAGAAGAGUGGAAUUCCACGUGUAGCGGUGAAAUGCGUAGAGAUGUGGAGGAACACCAGUGGCGAAGGCGGCUCUUUGGUCUGUAACUGACGCUGAGGCGCGAAAGCGUGGGGAUCAAACAGG